GAUCAUGGCUCAGGAUGAACGCUAGCUACAGGCUUAACACAUGCAAGUCGAGGGGAAACGACAUCGAAAGCUUGCUUUUGAUGGGCGUCGACCGGCGCACGGGUGAGUAACGCGUAUCCAACCUGCCCAUCACUUGGGGAUAACCUUGCGAAAGUAAGACUAAUACCCAAUGAUAUCUCUAGAAGACAUCUGAAAGAGAUUAAAGAUUUAUCGGUGAUGGAUGGGGAUGCGUCUGAUUAGCUUGUUGGCGGGGUAACGGCCCACCAAGGCAACGAUCAGUAGGGGUUCUGAGAGGAAGGUCCCCCACAUUGGAACUGAGACACGGUCCAAACUCCUACGGGAGGCAGCAGUGAGGAAUAUUGGUCAAUGGGCGAGAGCCUGAACCAGCCAAGUAGCGUGCAGGAUGACGGCCCUAUGGGUUGUAAACUGCUUUUAUAAGGGAAUAAAGUUAGUCUCGUGGGACUUUUUGCAUGUACCUUAUGAAUAAGGACCGGCUAAUUCCGUG
rnacentral:rRNA from 1 species